rnacentral:tRNA from 1 species
GGGUUAGAGGCUCAGUGGUAAGAGCCUAGGGCUUGUGACCGAAAGAUUCCGAGUUCGAAACUCGCAAGAGGCA